CCUACGGGAGGCAGCAGUGAGGAAUAUUGGUCAAUGGCCGAGAGGCUGAACCAGCCAAGUCGCGUGAGGGAAGACGGCCCUACGGGUUGUAAACCUCUUUUGUCGGGGAGCAAAGCGAACCACGUGUGGUUCAUUGAGAGUACCCGAAGAAAAAGCAACGGCUAACUCCGUUCCAGUAGCCGCGGUAAUACGGAGGAUGCGAGCGUUAUCCGGAUUUAGUGGGUUGAAAGGGUGCGCAGGCGGAGGUGCAAGUCAGCGGUCAAAUUGCGGGGCUCAACCCCGUACUGCCGUUGAAACUGCAUGCCUUGAGUGCGCGAGAGGUAUGCGGAAUGCGUGGUGGAGCGGUGAAAUGCGUAGAUAUCACGCAGAACUCCGAUUGCGAAGGCAGCAUACCGGCGCGCGACUGACGCUCAUGCACGAAAGCGUGGGUAUCGAACAGGAUUAGAUACCCGAGUAGUC
rnacentral:rRNA from 1 species